rnacentral:rRNA from 1 species
AGUUUUAACCUUGCGGCCGUACUCCCCAGGCGGUCGACUUAUCGCGUUAGCUGCGCCACUAAGAUCUCAAGGAUCCCAACGGCUAGUCGACAUCGUUUACGGCGUGGACUACCAGGGUAUCUAAUCCUGUUUGCUCCCCACGCUUUCGCACCUCAGUGUCAGUAUCAGUCCAGGUGGUCGCCUUCGCCACUGGUGUUCCUUCCUAUAUCUACGCAUUUCACCGCUACACAGGAAAUUCCACCACCCUCUACCGUACUCUAGCUCAGUAGUUUUGGAUGCAGUUCCCAGGUUGAGCCCGGGGAUUUCACAUCCAACUUGCUGAACCACCUACGCGCGCUUUACGCCCAGUAAUUCCGAUUAACGCUUGCACCCUUCGUAUUACCGCGGCUGCUGGCACGAAGUUAGCCGGUGCUUAUUCUGUUGGUAACGUCAAAACAGCAAGGUAUUAACUUACUGCCCUUCCUCCCAACUUAAAGUGCUUUACAAUCCGAAGACCUUCUUCACACACGCGGCAUGGCUGGAUCAGGCUUUCGCCCAUUGUCCAAUAUUCCCCACUGCUGCCUCCCGUAGGAGUCUGGACCGUGUCUCAGUUCCAGUGUGACUGAUCAUCCUCUCAGACCAGUUACGGAUCGUCGCCUUGGUAGGCCUUUACCCCACCAACUAGCUAAUCCGACCUAGGCUCAUCUGAUAGCGUGAGGUCCGAAGAUCCCCCACUUUCUCCCUCAGGACGUAUGCGGUAUUAGCGCCCGUUUCCGGACGUUAUCCCCCACUACCAGGCAGAUUCCUAGGCAUUACUCACCCGUCCGCCGCUGAAUCCAGGAGCAAGCUCCCUUCAUCCGCUCGACUUGCAUGUGUUAGGCCUGCCGCCAGCGUUCAAUCUGAGCCAGGAUCAAACCCUU